CCUACGGGAGGCUGCAGUGGGGGAUAUUGCACAAUGGGGGGAACCCUGAUGCAGCGACGCCGCGUGGGUGAAGGAGUGCUUCGGCAUGUAAAGCCCUAUCGGCAGGGAAGAAGCAAGACGGUACCUGACUAAGAAGCCCCGGCUAACUACGUGCCAGCAGCCGCGGUAAUACGUAGGGGGCGAGCGUUAUCCGGAUUCACUGGGUGUAAAGGGAGCGUAGACGGCCAUGCAAGCCAGGGGUGAAAGCCCGGGGCCCAACCCCGGGACUGCCCUGGGAACUGCAUGGCUGGAGUGCGGGAGGGGCAGGCGGAAUUCCUGGGGUAGCGGUGAAAUGCGUAGAUAUCAGGAGGAACACCGGCGGCGAAGGCGGCCUGCUGGACCGCGACUGACGUUGAGGCUCGAAAGCGUGGGGAGUGAACAGGAUUAGAUACCCGAGUAGUC
rnacentral:rRNA from 1 species